rnacentral:rRNA from 1 species
GAUGAACGCUGGCGGCGCGCUUAAGACAUGCAAGUCGAACGAAGAUUUACGAUUAGUUUACUGAUUGUAAAUUCUUAGUGGCGGACGGGUGAGUAACACGUGAGCAACCUGCCUUCGAGAGGGGGACAACAGAGGGAAACUUCUGCUAAUACCGCAUAUGACCACAGUACCGCAUGGUACAGGGGGUGAAAGGAGAAAUCCGCUCGAAGAUGGGCUCGCGGCUGAUUAGCUAGUUGGUGAGGUAACGGCCCACCAAGGCGACGAUCAGUAGCCGAACUGAGAGGUUGAUCGGCCACAUUGGGACUGAGACACGGCCCAGACUCCUACGGGAGGCAGCAGUCGGGAAUAUUGCACAAUGGGGGAAACCCUGAUGCAGCGACGCCGCGUAAGGAAGAAGGUCUUCGGAUUGUAAACUUUGUCGACAGGGACGAAGGACGUGACGGUACCUGCAGAAAAGCAACGGCUAACUACGUG